ensembl:lncRNA
CCUUAACCAACGGCACAACUCCGGAACAUUUCCAUGCAGUUCAAGCCAGAACAAAUAACUUUUAAAUGUGCUAUCUUAACCAAGGGACCCCCUUGAAGGCAAAGAGAGCAUCACAACACAUCUCACCAGGACAAAAGCUAUUCAACUUUUGAUGGGAAUAUGAGGUACGUAAAGCGUCUUUUGUGUGGCAUUAAUCAAAGCCCCCCCUACUACAACUGGUAAACCAAAACAUUCAGUAUAUGGUUGGCGAUACACAGAUAUGUUGACUCUAUGGCAAUGUGAUACAGUGUGUAACAUUCUCUGCCAUUAAAUCAACAUUUCUGUGUAUCGCCAGCCUUAAAUUGAAUUAAUGUAUAUAUCUUCAUAGUUCUGGUUUACCUUUUGUAGUAAAGGGGGCUUUCAUAAAAAUAAAUAAGCCACAGCAACUUUGGGAGUGAGGCAGGCAGAUGAAACGUUCAACUAACUUCAAGGUUAAGUAAUGCACAAAUAUGGUAAAUAUAUUGUAAUAUGUACGAUUACAGGUAAGAAUGAUGUAUAAAUGUUUCCAGGGAGGCAAGUCUUAAUUAGGGCCCACCUAAACCUCUUGUAAUUCGAACCCUGGACCUAGUGUCCUUUAACUUGGGACCCCAAUCUCGUGACUUGGGCCCUUCUGCUAAUGUAUACCAGAUGUGGAUAUUCUUUGUAUUUUCUUCUUGAAUUUCUGCAAUAUCUGAAAUUAUCAUCAUUACAGUUAGGUUAUUUAAUUUGCAUUAGGUUAAGUAUCAGGGUUAUUGCAAAAUAGAUUUAUAUUUUUCUGCUUCCCACAAUGAUAGACCAACACAAGUGUGUGUGUGUAUGUAUGUGUGUUUGCUUGGAACUUGACAAAUGCUUAAGGCCCAUAAUUCCUGCUGUAGUUUGUGUCAGUCCUGGAAGUAUUUUUCUUUCUGGUAAACCAAGUUGCUUUUAAGAUGCAACUCGCAACUCUGGAGAAAGGAACCAGGAAAAAUCCUGACCUCAGACCUAUUCAGGUCUAGGAGGAUGCCAGAAUUUCUGAUUGGAAUUCAGUGUUAACAGUUAUACAUCUAUAUAAUUCGAAUACAAGACCCCUCACAUUCGACAUGAGACAGUAACGUCAAAGACAAACAUUCCUAUUUAUUUUAAUGGAAAUCAAUAAUAUUUUGGAUGUAAGAUAACAUUGAUGGUGAACGCGAAACAUGAGGCUAGAGACAAUAAGACAAUUAAAUGUAAUCUGGGCAGAGGCAGUAAAUUCCUUGCAAACCGUUAUCUCACCCAUCCCCCUAACGCGCAGGACGAAACCGGAAAUCACGCGAGGAGAGCGAGACAACUUUUAAAAUGUUGUUCCAGUAAAUGUGCAUGACAUUAUCAGCUCUGCAUGGACCGUCGGUAUGUAUUUCUUGAGGUAAUCCAGGUUCAGUUGGAACUUUGCAUGGUGAGGAAAGCACCAAUCCUGUGGAUACAGCCUACUCCAUUGACUUUAGAUUGAAUCAGGACAGGAAGUGCUGCUACAUUUAAAAGAUUUUUCGAAUUUACCCCGGGAUUACUCCGUUGGGUUGAACAAAUUGAUGCAGACCAAUGCAAUCCGAAGAAUUGGGAAAUUAAGCUAAACUGGUCCGAAAAUGUCUAAGCAACUUGCUUGUCAGAACUGUGACGUGAAGUUUAACACCAUUCGCAGCUUGAAGCUACAUGUCAGCGGAAUAAAACAUCGAAAGAAAGUGGCAGAGCUGUUCCAGUCAGAUGAGUACCAUGGCCGAGUCUACGUCCCAUUCAUCUUGGUUCUGGGACAUUUGACCAAACAACCCAUGAGCACCCCACAGCCUAUUGUUGGUCUGUGCCUGGUCACAAUUUGUUUGAGUUCAGAGAGGAGUGAUGCGUUCUACCUGUGUCAUGUGUGUGAGGAGAACUGUGGCCAAGGAAAUAUCAUAGACCAUCUGACUUCUGCCGACCAUCUCUCCAACUACUACAACUACACAGACCCGGAUUUGUUGAGUUUCUCCUGGUUGACUGGCUCGAACAAUUCGAAUCAUCUACAGGUGCUCGCUGCCAAAGAUCUGGACCGGAAUGGACCCGGGGUGCUGCGGAUGCUGGACAUGCCUAAGAGUAUGGUUUUGGAUUUGAAGAAGAUUGGCUACUCUAAAGUGAUGCAGGCUCUAACUCAGUCUGAGAGGCUGGAGAAGUGCGUCAGAGCUGGUAGACCGGAGAGGAGGACAAUACAAGAUUACCACAGAGACUCCAGAAGGAAGCAUCCUCUGCUGGGUUUACAGCACCUGGUGGAGUACUGCUGUGAGGGGUGUGACCAGAAGAAAUCCUACCUGUGCCAACUGUGUCAACUCUACAUCCCAUUACAUAGAGUCAUCAAACACACACUGAGCUUUGACCAUAUCUACUGGUACUUUAAAGCGUGGCAUCCCUCCACCCUCCUGACGAAGGACUGUUAUAAGGCCUACAGCGACCGGUUCAAGUCCAUCAUGCUGGACCUGGCCAAUCAGGCACAAGACAUCAGCCGGUCCGCCAAUAACGAGAUACAGCGUGUUGUGUUGGAACCAGAAGUGUUCGCCUCCGUGCCGUCUGUCUAUAGAGAAGCCCUGAGGAAGUUGGAGACCAUUAGAGAGGAGCGUAAUGAGGGCUGUUUGAAGACCAGCGUGACUCCUGGAGACAAAUUGGUUCCUUUUUUAAACAGGUCAAAGGUUAUCAAAGAUACCACAAGAACUGUUGCCGAGGCUGUUGAUUUGGAGGAAGAGUUGAGCCCAGAGAUGUCCUCCAUUCCUCGAGCUGUUGAAAAGCCUAGAGAAGCUACAGCUGCUCCAGGUUUGACCGCAGCUAGUGGCCAAAAAGGUGUUUGCCGUUUGCUCUGUCAGAAUUGCAACGAGGUAUAUGCUUUGGUGUCGCUCUUCAAGUUACAUGUACGCAGCUGGAAACAUCAGAUGAUGCUGGGUGACGGGCCAGGCCACCUACCAUCCUUUACUUUGUACGAGUACAUGCGGAACCCAGGGCGAACUGAACCAAUUAUUGGUGUCCAUCUGAUCUCGACGUGUCUGAAUUCAGAGUGUGUGGACAUACCGGUGUGCCUGUGUCACAUCUGUCAUGAGUGUUUCACGGCAAUUUCUAUCUUGUCUCACCUCACCUCUGCUUCCCACCUCCAACAGACCCUGAUGUACCAGAGUCCAGAGCGUCUGCCGUUUGGCUGGAAACCAGAAAUUGACCGGAAGGUCUUGAACACCCUGGCCUGGGAAGAGGAGACCGACAGAGGAGAGAAGGACAUGAUCCUGAAGGUGUUCUUUUGUCCUGACAUUGUUUUCUCCAACAUUAAGACAUUGCACUACCUCACUGCCAUUAAGUGUCUCAAAGACUUUCAUGGUUAUUAUUUUGUUGACAAACCACUGACAAUUUGGACCCAUCUGAAAAACACAAAAAGGACAUUUCCUCUGCUGGGUUUGCAGUUCCUGGUUCAAUACAGCAUUACAAGGCCCAGGGACUCGUUUCCAAGAUGGGGGUACCUGUGUCUUCUGUGUGAGGAGAAGUUGUCAGACAGGCUCAGCGUGGCUCACAUGCACAGCAACACUCAUGUCACUAUGUUCCUGAAACGUGCACAUCCCGGUUCUCUGGAAGAGGUGAAGUGGCAUGAUGAAAGGAGGAGUGAAGUAUUGCUCGACCUGGCACAACAGGCUGAGACAAUACACACUCCCAGCCGUGUACAGGUCAUAAAAUUGGAACGCUGCAUUGCUGAAUCAGUCAUGUACACAAAAGCCCUGGCGAUCCUGAAGUCAGUCAAUAAGAGAGGAUUCAGACUGCAGAUUCCUCUGCUACCACGUGGGAAAAAACUGGUGCCCUUCGGGGGAAUACAAGACCAAAGCCGGACCACAGAACCUGUUCCUGUACGUCUGUAUGUUGGAGAGGAUAAUGAGACCAGGAACAAAAAUGACAAUGAGAUAAAGAACUACAAAGAGACCACCCCAGAUACUGUAAACAUGACUCACAAGACUGGGAUGGAGGUGGAAAAACAAAUUGGCAAAAAACCCUGCACUGACUCCGGUAGAAAGACUGGAGAAGAACCCUGCUGUGGGCCCGGUCCAAAGGCUGGCAAAGAACCCUGCAGCAGCCCCGGGGCAAAGACGGGCAAAGAACCCUGCAGCGGCCCCGGGGCAAAGACGGGCAAAGAACCCUGCAGCGGCCCCGGGGCAAAGACGGGCAAAGAACCCUGCAGCGGCCCCGGGGCAAAGGCGGGCAAAGAACCCUGCAGCGGCCCCGGGGCAAAGGCGGGCAAAGAACCCUGCAGCGGCCCCGGUCCAAAGGCGGGCAAGGAACCCUGCAGCGGCCCCGGGGCAAAGACGGGCAAAGAACCCUGCAGCGGCCCCGGGGCAAAGACGGGCAAAGAACCCUGCAGCGGCCCCGGGGCA